GAUGAACGCUAGCGGCAGGCCUAAUACAUGCAAGUCGAACGGGAUCCAGAUCAAAGCUUGCUUUGGUCUGGUGAGAGUGGCGCACGGGUGCGUAACGCGUGAGCAACCUACCCUUGUCAGGGGGAUAGCCCGGCGAAAGUCGGAUUAAUACCGCAUGACAUCAUUGAGAGGCAUCUUUCGAUGAUCAAAGAUUUAUCGGACAAGGAUGGGCUCGCGUGACAUUAGCUAGUUGGCAAGGUAACGGCUUACCAAGGCUGCGAUGUCUAGGGGCUCUGAGAGGAGAAUCCCCCAGACUGGUACGGAGACACGGACCAGACUCCUACGGGAGGCAGCAGUAAGGAAUAGUGGUCAAUGGACGGAAGUCUGAACCAGCCAUGCCGCGUGCAGGAGGACGGCCCUAUGGGUUGUAAACUGCUGUUAUACGGGAACAAACGUCGGUACGUGUACCGGUCUGAGUGUACCGUAAGAAUAAGGAUCGGCUAACUCCGUG
rnacentral:rRNA from 1 species